AGAGUUUGAUCAUGGCUCAGAAUCAACGCUGGCGGCGCGCCUAACACAUGCAAGUCGAACGAGAAAGGGGAGCAAUCCCUGAGUACAGUGGCGUACGGGUGAGUAACACGUGGAUCAUCUACCUUCUGGUGAGGAAUAACCAUGGGAAACCGUGGCUAAUACCGCAUAAGCCCGAGAGGGGAAAGUCGAAAGACGCCGGAAGAGGAGUCCGCGGCCGAUUAGCUAGUUGGCAGGGUAAAGGCCUACCAAGGCAAAGAUCGGUAGCCGGCCUGAGAGGGCACACGGCCACACUGGCACUGAAACACGGGCCAGACUCCUACGGGAGGCAGCAGUGGGGAAUCUUGCACAAUGGGGGAAACCCUGAUGCAGCGACGCCGCGUGAGCGAUGAAGCCCUUCGGGGUGUAAAGCUCUUUCGGCAGGGAAGAUGAUGACGGUACCUGCAGAAGCAGCUGCGGCUAACUACGUGCCAGCAGCCGCGGUAAUACGUAGGCAGCAAGCGUUGUUCGGAGUUACUGGGCGUAAAGGGUGUGUAGGCGGUUGCUUAAGUUUGGUGUGAAAUCUCCCGGCUCAACUGGGAGGGUGCGCCGAAUACUGAGUGACUCGAGUGCGGGAGAGGAGAGUGGAAUUCCUGGUGUAGCGGUGAAAUGCGUAGAUAUCAGGAGGAACACCGGUGGUGUAGACGGCUCUCUGGACCGUAACUGACGCUGAGACACGAAAGCGUGGGUAGCAAACAGGAUUAGAUACCCUGGUAGUCCACGCCCUAAACGAUGCAUAUUUGGUGUGGGCCGUUCAGUCGGUCCGUGCCGGAGCUAACGCGUUAAAUAUGCCGCCUGGGGAGUACAGUCGCAAGGCUGAAACUCAAAGGAAUUGACGGGGGCCCGCACAAGCGGUGGAGCAUGUGGUUCAAU
rnacentral:rRNA from 1 species